UAUAUUUGAUCUCAGAAUGUUCAGUAAAUAACUUUAUUUCAAUCAUAGCAAACAUCUAAAAAUUACAUCACAUUUAUCUACAUUUCUGAUAUUUGGAUAUACAAGUUCAAAUAAAUCCUUCAAACUAACUUUUAAGACCUUGGAAUGAGCUUUCUGAAAACAUCACCAUCUUACAUAUAAAGCUAUAGACAACACAGUCUGUAUAGAUGGCAGGGGGAAGUCUUUUCAAAUCCAUGUAUUCCUUCAUCUUACAAAUGUUAUGCAUGUUCAAUGAAAAGACAGUGCCUAUUUCCUUUAGUGCUAAAAAUAGUUCAUGACACAGAACCAUUAAUGGGUUUGUUCACUUACUUUUAGGCUGUUGUUUAUUGACCCAGACAGAUUUAAAUACAUAGUUGGGUAUUUAGUUUGUUUCAGCAACCUCUGACUAGCGUUUUAGAAUUUCCAAAAAACUACUGCUUUUCCUAGGUAAAGCAUUAUUCAACAAAAACUAUUAAACCAAAACGCAUCCAAUCUAAUCACUGUUCCUAAUUGCUCUAUCAAACACGACCUAGCUGGAAGUAUUGCUAACAGAGAUUUGAUUGGAGGAGAAUGAAAUCAGGUAGAAACUGCAUUUAAGCAAAUUCUUAUGAAAAACAGAUGUCUGAAGUACAUUAUAUAUGAUAUACUAAACCCAAAUAUUAUAUUAUUACAUAAAUUUAAAUAAUACUCCUAAAGUUCUAUGAUGUAAAAAAAAUAUUUUAAAAAAUCUACUGGCACAUAGCACUUUAUGUCAAGUAAAAUAAUAAAAUAACUUGAUUGUAAAUAAAAAAGAAAUGCUUACUUAUGUGCUAGUGGCUGGUCAGGAAGAACUCAUUUUAUUUUGGAUUAUGAUAAGGAAAGAGUAUUAAUCUGUUUUCUGCAUUUCUUAUUCAAAAAUGAAUAACAGAUCCCUUAUCAAGAGUAGGAGAGGUGAUCUGAAAGGCAUAAGUGGGGCGGCAGGGUAGUCUAGUGGUUAGAGUGUUGGACUAGUAACCGGAAGGUUGCAAGUUCAAAUCCCCGAGCUGACAAGGUACAAAUCUGUCGUUCUGCCCCUGAACAGGCAGUUAACCCACUGUUCCUAGGCCGUCAUUGUAAAUAAGAAUUUGUUCUUAACUGAAUUGCCUAGUUAAAUAAAAUAAAAGGUAGAUCACUAGUCCUACUCAGAGACGUGGCUGUUAUAUUUCAUGUACGUCCUCUGUUAUUUGUGUAGUAGGCCUACUACUGUGGAGCCUGUGUUUUUUUCAACCACUCCAAACAAGAAGGGAAAAAUACAUCUCUUAUUAUUAUUCACAAUGAUAAAAUGUUGCAGAGUGCACAUACAGUAUAAAAACUGUUUGGGUUGAUCGACAACAGCCUAGAGAAGUGUAAAAAAUCAUACAAAUGUGUAAUUUUGGUGAAACUAACCCUGAACAAUGCUGCAGUAGAUGCGUACCAAUCAAGACAGUUUUAUUUAAGACAACAAUAAUAACAAAGAAAAUAGCCUAAUCAAUUUCUUUCUUUGCAUUAGUCGUGCUUUAAAAAAUAAAUGUAUAUAUUGUGUAACUGAGUGCAUGGACAGUCUACUAUGAGUGCGAAUGCAGGAUACAUAAAUUAUAUUAAUAAAUACAUUACAUGAAAUUCAAUGAGUUAUUGCUCAGAGGCAUGUAUAGGCCAAUAUGCAGCUAGCCAUGUUCUAAAUGAGGUAGGCCUAAUUGCAGUCAUAACAACAAUCCCUUUGCUACGCACUAGAUAGAAACCUUGGGAAUGUGGCACCAUCAUUGUGCUAGUUGGUACAUAGGAUAAAACAUUGAUAUGACAGCUUCCAAGAGCAACCAAUCCAUUUACACCACAGAUCUCCAAAAAACACUGGCCAGCUUCAAUGCUACAACAUUUGCAAAAUGGGAUAAACACUAAUAGCUCAAUGAGCAUGGUCCCAAGAACCAAUGGGCUGGGACAGAGCCAGAACACACGUGGGUAAAGCAGUUUUGAAAAUGUGUCAUACUCUGAUCGGUUAGAGAUGAUCCAAUCACCGGUUUAUUUUUAACAACACUCCUCAUUUAGACAUCACCACAAACGACGUCAAAGAUGGCAGUCUCAGACUGAAGUAUGCAGCAAAUGAUAAGGCAGCUGAAGAAUUCUGAUUUAGUCGUCAGGCAAAAUAUUGGUACCAUUGACUUACAUUGGAUUUGUGCAACAAAUGCUCAAAAGUUAGCAUUUGGAAACAGUGGCCAGGUAAACAAAACUAAAGCAUGGAUAGCUGUCAAACCUUGUCCAUAGACUGAUCACAGGUUAAGGAAACCUAUAUAAUUUUGUCAUUUGGGCAAACUAUCCCUUUAAGUUAAAUGGAGCAUUGUGUGUCACCUCUUUCUUAUGCUUCUCUUAUGAGAGUUGAGUAAUGUCCGGCAUUUUCCAUGCACCAGUAUCACAGAUGGAACAAUGAGACAGAUAUUUCACCAGAUGUAUACAUGUGAACAUCAACUUAGUGAGAGGAAGCCCAGUGGCAGGCAGUGGGAGAAGAUGGAACAAAAUGGAUUUUGUCUGGCAUUCUGCCAAUUUUCUAAUUGGUGAAACAUUUGAUCUCAAUACAGUUUUCUGUUCCCAAAACUAGAAUCUACUAUGAACAGAGUGGACAACGUUUUUUAGACUUUUACCCUUUGCCAAAAUAAAAAAAUAAAAAAGUGUUCUCGAAGGAGUGCAAAGACGAAUUGAGUUAUUGCACACGCGCACUUCACAGUGUAGGCGUUCCCUAACAGAAAUACGCUAAUUCAUGCUAGAAUGCGCCAAUAGGAUCUCGCUAGCUCAUGCUUGGCUCUGCCCACCUCCUUGCUUGUUCUGCCCACUAUGACUCAUUUGUUCCCAUUUGAAACGACGUGCUGUGGUCUACCUUGGUUUAGUUAUAAAAAAUCUAUGGUAUGCUCAGAACCAAAACAUCAUUACUCUACAAUAUACAUGCAUUCAGAUGACAAGAUAUAUGCUCAAUCUGGUACAGUCCAGAAGUAGUCUGAUUAAUGAGGCUGCUCAAAGUUCGACUUAAUAUAGAAAUAAUACUGAAAGAAGAUGAGUUAACUUAAAAUAAAAGAUUUGGGAACCCCUGAGGUAGGCAACACAAAUGUAAGCCAAUGUUAAAUCAGUGAUGGAAUUACAAUCAAUGUCAAACUGCAGUCUUGUAACACACAGGGCAGUUAAACAACAUUCCUCUUAGUCUGAUCUGUGAGUCUUGCUCUGACCUGAAUAUGGGACUGGAAUGGGAACAGGAACUGGUGAGUAAAGUGAAGGGAGAACAUAAAUUAAGGAUCUGUAUCCAACUUUGUAAAGGCCAGGUGGUAUAUCUAUGCGACUGACACUUCUCCCUCCCUGUGCUAUCAACGCUCCCUCCGUUACUACUGCCUUUCUGAACUGCCUCGACACCUUGGUGAUGGUCUUCCGCAGCUGAUAGGCCAAGUCAAGACCUGCCACUGCAAGAACGCUGCAAAUCAUGCCUGAAAUGAAAGACCUCUCUGAAAAUUAGCUUUCCUGACAAUGACCAAAACAAAGAAGUUAGAAUAGCCUAAAGAAUGAAACUAACAUCCGUUUCUCACUGGUCAGCCAAUUACAACUGCUCUUGGACAUGACAGUCCUCCCAUUUUCACCUGCCCUGCAGCAUCCCUAAAGCCUGGGAGGUUUUAUGAUAAGCUGACUGUGAUCAAAACCAACAAAGCCCCAGGUUCCGACGGUAUGCCAUAGCAGAUCUUCCAAGAAUUUACCUGCGAGUUGAGCCAACCCAUGUCUGACAUCCUCAACAUAUCAUUCCAGCAGGGAAAUUCCUCUCCCAGUGGAAGACAUCACGGUCGAGCCAAUCCCAAAGAUACACCCCCUGUCAGUCGACCAACAAAACAAAGGAGUAACAAAACCUUAUAUUUUGGGUUAUGAUAAAGACAGACAGUUGUGCUAAGCUCAUCAUACUCUACCAAAGGGUACAUAACAAGAAUUUUAAUAACCGUCAAACAGCUUUCCAAAUCCCAAACUGUAGCUUUAGAUGCUCCCAGGCUAUUUACUUAUUUUUCUUUGUAUUGUUAGAAUAAGUCCCUUGUCUGCCCCUUCAUCAAUGUAUUUAUAUAGGCCUAUGCCAUUUGUAUGGUCAUGGAUUUCUGUUUGUUUUAGAAUAGGGGUGUAAAUUAACUUUGACUAAAUCAUGCAGGUGGGGGUUAUUGUGUUCAGUGCAAAAACUAAACGCUAUCAAGAUAGAAACACAGUCUUUGCAACAGGUUGAAACUAUUAACUUUGUUAAAUCGUGCAGUUGGUACCAUGCAUGCCAAUGUACUACACUUCAUGAAUAUAUAUAUAAUUUUUACUUUAAGAUUGGGGACCAAGACAUUCAUUCAAAAGGUAAAGUAGCCAAAUGAUGCACAGUUGACAUCAAACUGGAGAGGAAAUUACGUUUUUCAUUAUGGUUGCCUGACAUGCAAAAGUUCAACUCAGUGUUUCCCCUAGGACUUUUUUCAGCAGUUGUGGCAAAGUUAGCGGGUGGUGGCCGUGGCCAAUGGCGUGGUUUUAGAGGCCCUCCAAUUAGCCGCAGAGAUAGCAUUUAGCUUUUUUUAAACACAUUUUCACCAAUUCUACACAUUUUGCCAUGGGGCCCGAGAGAAAAUGUACCGUUUUAAAGUUAAUUUCCUAAAAAUAUACAAAUGUUUUAUACACAUUUGUUCUUAUGCUAUCGGAGUGACUCAAACAUUAUAAGAAAUUCAAUGGGGGCCCCAUUCCAUGACAUUAUUUGAAUUUUAGAUUCUUCCUGACUGUCUAGUUAUACUUUUGGUGAUUAUGAGAUAAUCUUUGAGAACUAACAAACAAAUACACUGAGUGUACAAAACAUUAGGAAUCGCUUCCUAAUAUUGAGUUGCAGCCCCCUUUGCCCUCAAAACAUCCUCAAUUCAUCGGGGCAUGGACUCUACAAGGUGUCAAAAGUGUUCCACACGGCUGCUGGCCCAUGUUGACCCCAAUGCUCACCACAGUUGUGUCAAGUUGGCUGAAUGUCCUUUGGGUGGUGGACCAUUCUCAAUACACACAGGAAACUGUUGAGCGUGAAAAACCCAGCAGCGUUGCAGUUCUUGACACACUCAAACCGGUGCACAUGGCACCUAUUACCAUACCAUGUUCAAAAGCACUUACAUAUUUUGUCUUGCCUAUUUACCCUCUGAAUGGCACACACACAAUCCAUGUCUCAAUUGCCUCGUCAGUGGGAAGAGCAUGUUUUGUACAAUUACUGUAUAUUGCUCCAUUAUAUUUUCUACAUACUUCAUAUCUCGCAUUGGUCGUUUAAGUUAACACUGAAAAUGUUCUAGCGUCCCAAAAUUAUUUUCAAAUAAAAAUAAAAAUAUUCUAGUAUUUAUUUUUUUGCAGUGGCGGCCACGAAUGCAUAUAGGGGAAACACUGAUUUAACUUCAAAGCAAACCAGCAGACAUACAGAUACCAAUGUAGAAAUAUAGCAUCAGUCUCUGUGACACAUUAUGCUUGCUUAAUUUAUCUUAAAAACACAAAGUUGCAAAUCUUUUAAAGGGACAAUUCAAGAUUUUGGCAAUUAAACCUUUUUCUACUUACCCAGAGUCAGAUGAACUCAUGGAUACCAUUUGUAUGUCUCUGCAUGCAGUUUGAAGGAAGUUUAAGGUAGUUUCCGGAAUUUGCAAUAUCUCCAGAAAUGACCUUCAACUUCAUUCAAACUGCAUGCAGAGCAGAGGAUGUGAGUGGAGCGAGUAGCGGUGUGUGUAUAAUUUCGCAGAAGCAUAUUUUAAAAAAUGCUCAGGUACCGCUCAUCAACAAGCUCUGGGCAUGCUCUGCCCAGCAUUUUUUAUUUCCUUUAUGACUGUUCUUUUAAUAAGACAUACUAUUGUAUUUAUUAAGCCUACCCCACCACUAAUGAGCAGAGAUGUUGAUAUGACUCAACCAAGAAAUAGGACACACUACCUGUGUAAUUGAUAGCAAGAUAAGGAAUGAGCACAUUCAGCAGCAGCAGAGAUAUUUAGAUGUUUAAAUAGGCUAUUAUUUAAAAGAAAAUAAGAGUAUGUUUGGAACAGUGUUAAAGAAAGUUGUCGAUCAACUGUAAAAUGUGAGCACAACAGAGCCACAGUUACAACUGAUCAUCAAUAGAUUAGAGAAAAAGCAAGUCUUUUUUUUUUUUUUUUUACACAGCAGCCGCAUAUCAUCAGGUAGGUAGGUCCUUGUUAAAUAGCCUACGACAUGUUAUUGAAAUGCUGAAGCUUCUUAUAAUAUAGCCUACUUCAAAACCAAAUGGUACAUAGUUACAUAAGUAGAUGGGGUGUUUCUGUGAGCGCUGAGUGAUUUUGUUUUACGGAGUGGGGAAAUUACAUUGUGUGCUGGCACAGUGUGCAAAUACUACUUUGUGAGCGAUGAUGGGAUUUCCAACCACUCUGCUCACAUACUCUGAUGUAGAGACAUAAAAAUGGUAUCCAUGAGUUGCCUCUGGGUAAAAAAAAAAAAAAUGGCUUAAUGCCAACAUCUUAAAAUAUCACCUAGAGAAAAAAAAGUGUUUGACAAACUUGUCAUUCUUGUGCAAAUAAAAUGGAUGACUAAGUCAAACAUAUGCAUGCAGAACAAGGUAGCCUACUCCACACUAAGGCAAAGGAAUGACACACUAGUGCAUUCAUUGUCUUAAUAAGAAGUAUAGGACAAGACACAGCCAAACACCUCUGAUCAACCUUUCAGACAUUGUAAUAUGUGUUUGUUCUAAGGUUGGCGUAUGUGGUAUGUGAGGCAAGAAUUUGUAUUUUUGCUCCAGGAGGUGCCGAUUCAAACCGCUAGGGGAACUUGAUUUAUUUUGUAUUUUAUCUGAAAUAACUUGCUUUCAUCAGGGAAGGGUUCUAAAUUUGCAAAAAUGUAAUUAACUUAAGGUGAAAAAGUAUAUAAAUACAGGGCACAUCAAGUUGUGUUACCUUUUAGUAAUAAAUUGUGUUUGCUAUUCAGUGAAAAAGCAAAUUAUUAUUGCUCAAAAUAUUAGAUCAUUAAUAAGGACAUUUUAAAACAAGGCCCAACUUCACCAAAGAAAGUGAAGGCCCACUAUUGAAAGAGUAAUGCAACGAUUUGUUUAAGCUUGCUGUUAUUUAUUAAAUCACUUCAAGCAAUCUCUGGCCUAAUAGAGUGCCUAUGGAAAGUUCUCAGACCCAUGAACUUUUCCCACAUUUCGUUACAUCCUUAUUAUAAAAUGGAUUAUAUAAAUCAAAAUCCUCAGCAAUACCUCCACACAAUACCCCAUAAUGACAAGGCGAAAACAGAUUUUAGCAAAUUCAUUAAAGAUUAAAAAACUGAUAUCACAUUCACAUUAGUAGUCAGACCCUUUACUCAGUACUUUGUUGAAGCACCUUUGGCAGAGAUAACAGCCUUGAGUCUUCUUGGGUAUGACGCAACAAGCUUGGCACACCUGUAUGUGGGGAGUUUCUCCCAUGUUUCUCUGCAGAUAAUCUCAAUUUCUGUCACGUAGGAAAGGGAGCGUUGCUGCACAGCUAUUGUCAGGUCUCAAUUUCUUCAACCUCAUGGCAUGGUUUUUGCUCUGACAUGCACUGUCAAAUGUGGGACCUUAUAUAGACAGGUGUGUGCCUUUCCAAACCAUGUCCAAUCAAUUGAAUUUACCACAGGUGGACUACAAUCAACUUGUAGAAACAUCAAGGAUGAUCAUGGAAACAGGAUGCACCUGAGCUCAAUUUCGAGUCUCAGAGCAAAGGGUCUGAAUACUAAGAUAUGAGUUUAGUUUUUUUAAUGAAUUUGCAAACAUAUCUAAAAACCUGUUUUCGCUUUGUCAUUAUGGGGUAUUGUGUGUAGAUUUUUAA
ensembl:lncRNA